AAAAUUAUUUACAACAGCAUCUUUCGUCGCAAAUAAAUAUCAUAAAUACAUCUUAUACGAUGUACUUUUACGACGCAAACAAUUAUCGUCAUGAAAAGUUAAUGCAAAAAUUUUUUGCAACGGCAUUCCUCCAUCGUAGAAUUUUUGCUGUGGUCGAAAUGAUGACGGUUAAAAUACGAUCGCAAGACCGUCGUAAAUAGUCAUCUGCGAUGGUAAAUGAUUAUUUACGAUGGUAAAAUGUUUGAUCAUAACAAAUUCUUUUUCCUGUAUUGCCUCGACCUCAGAAGAUUCAAGGAUAUUUUC
rnacentral:lncRNA from 1 species